rnacentral:rRNA from 2 species
UUCCCAUGCCGAACACGGAAGUUAAGCUCUUCAGCGCCGAUGGUAGUCGGGGGUUUCCCCCUGUGAGAGUAGGACGCCGCCAAGC